GGGGCUGUGGUGUAGCGGUUUAGCAUGCUUCCCUGUCAAGGAAGAGGUCGCGGGUUCGAUUCCCGUCAGCCCCG
rnacentral:tRNA from 1 species